GUGGCCGUAGCUCAGUUGGUAGAGCACGAGAUUGUGAUUCUCGGGGUCGCGGGUUCAAGCCCCGUCGGUCACC
rnacentral:tRNA from 1 species